CCUACGGGCGACAGCAGUGAGGAAUAUUGGUCAAUGGACGAGAGUCUGAACCAGCCAAGUAGCGUGAAGGAUGACUGCCCUAUGGGUUGUAAACUUCUUUUAUAUGGGAAUAAAAUGUUCCACGUGUGGGAUUUUGUAUGUACCAUAUGAAUAAGGAUCGGCUAACUCCGUGCCAGCAGCCGCGGUAAUACGGAGGAUCCGAGCGUUAUCCGGAUUUAUUGGGUUUAAAGGGAGCGUAGGUGGAUUGUUAAGUCAGUUGUGAAAGUUUGCGGCUCAACCGUAACAUUGCAGUUGAAACUGGCAGUCUUGAGUACAGUAGAGGUGGGCGGAAUUCGUGGUGUAGCGGUGAAAUGCUUAGAUAUCACGAAGAACUCCGAUUGCGAAGGCAGUUCACUGGAGCGCAACUGACACUGAGGCUCGAAAGUGUGGGUAUCAAACAGGAUUAGAUACCCGAGUAGUC
rnacentral:rRNA from 1 species